UGUAAUGGUUGUUGUCAAGUCUUUCUGACUUUGUGCAUAAUCAUUACAAGAGGAUCAAUGCAUAUAAGUUUAGAAUCUAACAGAUUUCAGUAAAUGACAUAAAUUUGGAAUUCUUGCAUUUACAAUAAGGAUUUGGGAUUGUGAAAUGAGUAUCAUUGGAAUCAUGUUCAAUUGAUCUACAUCACAAUGUAAGGAUCAUAGACAAACAUAGUGUGCAUACUUGGGGUAUGGCAUAACUAUUGUUUAGAAAAACAAAGUGUACAUGCUAGGAGCAUGGGACGACUGUUGUUUUUAUUCAAGUCUUAAGUUGAUUAUUUGAAACAUUGAAUAAUGUGUAAUCAAUAUGGUGAUAAAUAAAAAGUGGUUUUAUUUAUAUUCAAAAGGGUUCUGAGACCAUAUUAGAUUCGAUUAUUAUUGUAUUUCACUUUGCAUGUUUUGACUUCCAAAAUAGCUAGGUUAUUCUUUCCGGAUGACUAAGUUAUUUAAACACUCCACAGUCGUUCAUAUGUUGGAAGUAGGUAUGAAUCAAGACUGUCAUGAAUCGGGUUUGUAGAUGGCUAAAUGAGUUUAGUCAUGGCAAUGGUUGCUACAACAUUCAUGAGUACUCAUAAGUUAUGAGUAUUGGAAUAAACCCACGCUCACUUGUAUCACUUCAUGGAAUUUAUCUCGAGUGAUCGUGAGACGAUAAUAUCAUAUAAAUCUUCAAACCUAGAGAUAUGAGUUGUUACCUAUGAGUUGGUUGUGCAUUGAUUGCACGUAAACGCAUCAGUAACUUGAUGUUAUAAAACGUGCCUUUGUGUACAAUUCAACAAGUAGUAGAACAAGCAUAUGAGUCGAAGUUUAUCUGUUCCUUCUAGAAAUAGAAGCGAUAUCUGGGCCCCUCGAUGAUUUUGUUGUGACCUAUGUACCGGCCGGUCAGAACUGAAUUGAUGUGUUCGAUUAAGUUCUUUGUCAAACAAAUCGAAAAUCGGGAAACAAACUGCUGGACAAUAAGUACGACGUUGUUCCAUGUAUNAGAUUAAGUUCUUUGUCAAAUAAAUUGAAAAUCGGGAAACAAACUGCUGGACAAUAAGUAUGACGUUGUUCCAUGUAUUUGUCCGGCUGAUAUCAUGAGAACAGAGGAUUAUAUGAUCACUUAUCUAAAAUGGCGCUUCAUAGUUCAACAGAGUUUUCGAGAGCUACGAUUGCUGGUUGGUUCCUGAAGUAACAUACGCAAAUAUAGUUAUUAGACUUAUCCAAGUGGGAGUCUGUUGGAUAAGGUGUCUAAGUCCAUAACUUAUUUGGUAUAUACUUGACCCGACCCGCCAUGGUCCAUUUGGGUUGCAUCUCACCCGAACUAUUUAUGGAUAAUUUUAUGAGAGUUAUACACAUAUGCUUAUUAAUAUAUUAUAAGUUAUAAUAUAUUAAUAUGAAGUCAUGUUAUUUAAUUAGUCUUAGUCUUAAAUUAAUUAUGAAUUAAUUUAGAGAUUAAAAGGAAGACUAAUUAGAUUGUGGGCUAUUGGUUUUAUAUAGUGUGGGCUAACACUCAUUUGUUAAUGGGCUAGGCUUAUAUGGAAGUCCAUGGAUGAUCCAUGGAGCUUUUAACCCAUGGAUCCUUGGAAAGGAAAAGACAUGGGUUAUUAGGGUUUCACCCUAAUCAUGUACACUAUAUAAACAUGCUUAUGUUGCAUGAAAUAGCCACUAGUGGCACUAGUUGUGUGAGACUUAGGUGUGGCCGAAAAUUACAAUUGUGUGUACUCUCUCAAAAUUUUACAAGAGUUUGUGGUGAUUUGUGAUUCCAUUUGAGGCAUUCACACUAUUGGUGCUUGGCCCUCAAACUCCUUAGGAAUUGAACUCAUCAUCAAAAAGGUAUGUAAUCUCAUCUAAUUCUUUUAUGUUUAAAAGUACCCCAACAACAAGAAGGUAAAUUACCCGAGUUUAGCAUCAGGAGGACCAGCAGCAACACCUGCUUCAGCAACCCUACGACUUACUAAUGACUGCCAGGGCAUGGCGGAUGCACUAGUUGUGAGGACCAGGGGUUUUCAACUGACAUUCGAGGAGGCUCAUGCAGCACCGGAUGUGGUGGCGGGUAUGUAUCUUCUCCUUAAAUCUUUAUUGAUGUUGAUUUCUCUGCUUAUAUUUGUGUGUUUUGUUUUAGGACCGUUCCGUGUGAACGAUAUCUCUGACUUGGUAUUGUUUGAUUCGGGGCUACCCAAUCUUUUGUAUCUCUUGCACUCAGCAAAUGGAAUGUUGGAGCUCUGGGGUAGUUGGAUUUUCCAUUAGGGGUUGAGAUUGUGGAUGAUCGAUAUGUCUGGGUAUCGAAGGUUCAUCAAAUUGUGUUCUAGAGAUGUUCAGCGAAUAGUAUCCAUUUGAUUUGGUUCAUAUUCCUUUUCACAUGAAUAAUGUUAUUAUAGGGAUGGGCUGGUUAAGCCCUAAUGGGGCAGUAAUUGAUUGCGAGCAUCAAAUGAUACGCAUUCAAACCCUAUGUAGGGGGAAUUUUGUGAGGUUCGGUGGGAGAGAGCUCAGCAAGGGCCAGUUCUAUGCUCAUCAGCUAGGGUCAGACGCUAUCUUCAUCCUGGUUGUUCUAGUUAUGUUGCCUAUGUUAUGGAUACCCGAGAUAAGGUUAAGGUGACUGUAGACGAUGUGCUAAUUGUACGGGAAUAACCGAAUGUGUUUUUGGAGGAUUUUCCUGGGAUGCCUAUGCAGAGGCAGGUGGAGUUUUGGAUUAACUUGGUUCCUGGUACGACUCCGAUAGCCAAAGCACCAUAUCAGUUAGCUCCUCCAAGGAUGCAUGAGUUGUCUACACAACUGCGGGAGCUAUUAGACAAGGGGUUUAUUCGAUCGAGUAGUUUUCCAUAGGGAGCGUCGAUCUAGUUUGUGAAGAAGAAGGAUGGGUCGCAUCAGAUGUGUAUUGACUACUAAGGGAUGAAUAAGCUAAUGGUGAAUAACCGGUAUCCAUUCCCAAUGAUUGAUGAAUUUUUUUGACUAGCUUCGGGGUGCAUCUUGAUUUUCCAAGAUUGAUCUUCAUUCAGUUAUCAUCAGAUGAGGUUCAGAGAGGAUGAUGUGCAGAAGAUGGCCUUCCAAACUCGUUAUGGCUAUUACAAGUUCGUGGUGAUUCCCUUUGGCCUCGCCAAUUCUCCAACUGCGUUCAUGCACCUCAUUAACCAUGUAUGUUGAUCGAUGUUGAUCGUUCUGUGAUUGUAUUCAUUAAUAACAUCUUGGUCUAUUCCAAGACUUAGGAGUUGUAUGAGGAUUACUUGAGGGAGGCAUUGGAGACUCUGAGGAGGGAGAGAUUGUAUGAGAAGUUCUCCAAGUGUGAGUUCUGUUUGCGCAAGGUGCACUUUCUUGGGCACCUUGUAAACAAAAAUGGUAUUUUGGUCGAUCCGGCCAUGGUCGAGGCCGUGAUGAGGUGUGAGGUUCCGAUGUCUCCAUCUAAGAUUCAUAGUUUCCUUGGGUUGGCAGGUUACUACUGCAGAUUCAUUUAGGAUUUCUCCAAGAUAGCGAUUCCUCUAACUUGAUCUGAUGAAAAAGAUUGUCACUUUUCGUUAGGGCCUUGAGCAUCAUAAAUCUUUUGAGACCCUGAGAUAGAGAUUGUUUGAGGCAUUGAUUCUAACCCUGCAAGAGGGUGUUAAGGAUUUUGUGUUUAUUGUGAUGUGUUGACCAUGGUUUUGGGUGUAGUUCUUGUUCGAUUAAUGUCUAAGUCCAUAACUAUAAUUGGUAAGACUUGACCCGACCCGGCAUGGUCCAUUUGGGUUGCAUGGCAUCAUGCACUUGGAUAGUAUAUUAAUAAUGAGAGAAAUAAGACACUUAUGGUUAUUAAUAUAUUAUAAGUUCUAGUAUAUUAAUAAUAAGAAUAAUAAGAUUAUUUAAUUAGUAUUGAUCAAGAAUUAAUCUAGGAUUAAUUAAGUGAUCAAAAGAAGACUAAUUAAAUAUAUGGGUUGAUUGGGUAAAUCAUCCAUACUUAUAUAGUGGGCUAAUGCUCCAUGGAUUAUCUAGUUGGGCUAAAACCCAUAUGAUGCUCCAUGGAUGCUCCAUGGUGUAUUUGUACCCAUGGAUCAUGGAAAUGAAAGGUCAUGUCAAUUAGGGUUUACAUGGUGUAACCCUAACUAUAUAAGAAUCUUAUUCUUGACCAAAAUCGGCCACUAGAGUGAGUAAUGAAGGGCUAGCUGAUUUCAUGAGUUGUAGAUUUCUCUCAAGUUAUUCCAAGUGUAUUUGGUGUUGUGUGAACCAUUUGAGGUGUCACACUUGGGGCACUAGGCACUCAAGCUUCAUGAAGACUUUCUACAUCAAAGAGGUAUGUAUUCUAUCUUGUUAUAUUCAUUGUUUUGUAUGCUAGAUUAGGAUAAUACCUUGGAAGUUCAUAUUUGCAUGUAUAAUAGAGAAAACAUAGAUCCAAGGUAUUUAGGGUUGCAUGUACACUUAGGAGUGUUAGAAUGCUCAAAACCCAACAGUGGUAUCAGAGCCUAGGCUUGUUUUCUUGUUAUACCUGCAAUAGAAGCUGAAAAAACGAAUCUGGUGCUGUCUGGCCAUCAGACUCGGCGAGUCCAUCAGGAGACUCGGCGAGUCCAUGCCUAAAAAGUGAUGAAUUCGAUCCAACUCGCCGAGUUUGUUCAUGCACUCGACGAGUUGGACCCCCAGACAGCAUAUUUUCGAGUUUUUUGGCUAGAAAUGGACUAGGAACAUUACCCUAAGUUGUUUUUGAACUUAUAAACUUGUUUUUGAUGUGGUAAUGUUCAUGCUAAUCCAUUUUCAAAGAUAAUUGUCAAUAGAUUCAUGUUUUGUAUUAGUUUAAGGUUUAGACUAAUUACAUGAAAAAGUUUGAUUUGAAUUAUCUUGUUCUUAUGAGUUGCUUAGAUUAAUAGAAAUGUUGAGUGAAAUAGUUGUUUUCAAUCCAUUUUAAUCUAAGAGUUGAGUAUAAAAUGUGUUUGUGUAACUUGUCCUCAAGUUACAUGAAGAGUCACAUUAAAGACUCAUAAAAUUCAUAAAAGUUGGCAAUGGUUACAAAAUGAAGAGUCUUGUGUCAUUGAAUAAUUUUUUUUGACUCCAUAACUUGUCCUCAAGUUAUGGAAGUUCAAGAGUCACUUCAUUAAAGAAAAAUAUGUAACCAUAAUUAAAUCCAUAAGUUAUAAAAUAAAGAAAAAGUUAGUUCUUUUAUUAGUUUAAAGUCUUCCAUAACUUGUCCUCAAGUUAUGGAACUUGAAGAGUUUUUGGAUUAAAACUACUUUAAACACAUAAGUUAUGGAAUUAAUUAGUUUUGAAUAGUUUCAAAACUUGCCCUCAAGUUUUGGAAUUUGAAAAGUUUUCAAGUAUGAAUACUUUAAUUCCAAGUUAGCCCUUAGAAUUUUAAAAGUUAAAAUUCAACCCUUAUACUUUAUAAUAUUAUAAGUUAAUAAUAUAUAUAUGUAUAAGAGUAAAGUCAGUCUUACCGCUAGUACGCCUCAUUCACGAAGCCGGUCUAUAAGGUGGGUAUAAGGUUGUUGCCUAUAAAAUGGCAACUUAAUGGGUGUCCACUCUCACCCACCGCUUGCUUGACUGGUGGAGGGUCGUUAGCCGAACGGGUUUGACAGGACUAGAAUUCUCCCUUCAUUAAAAGUAUUAAUGAUAAUACUAAGUAACUAAACUCUUAAUAAUACCCAAUCUUAGUUACUUAGGAAAAAUGUGAAUAAGGUGCUAAUCCAUGAAAUUACACUUUACACUUUGUCUAAGUCGUUAGUGGAGCGUGUGUGGUUAACCGGCACACUAACUUGGACUUAACAAGGUAGGUAAAGGGUGACUUAAUAUUUAUCAUAGUAUCGAUGGAGCGUGUGUGGUUAACCGGCACAUCGAUUGAGGGGUAAUUUAUUAAGGGUACCAAGUGAUUUGCAUGGUUACUUCACACCUUGUUUUGUGAUCCUCGGCAUCCCAGUCACAAAACCUGAAGGGCACACUCGAGAUUGAAACAUGCCUUUGAAAAGUUCAAUGAAUCUCAAAGAUCUAGGAGUUUCAAAACCAAUUAAAACCUAAUAAUACAUUUCGUUUAUCUUGGUGGAAAUUGGUGAAUCGUCAUUCACCUACCUUCAAAUAUUUUAUAGCUUGGAUUACGGCAUACCUCUUCUAAGUUAUAAAAUAGUUUGUUGGGUCCUAGCCUUAAUAUUUCAUAUUGGGUGUCAUAUUAAGGACUUUAAAUCAACUAUCUUGAAUAUCUCCCAAAAGAUGUCUGGUUUAGACACCUAUGAUCUUCCCAAAUCUCUUGAAACAAGGUUUCCUAAUGAAGAUGAUGUCCCAUGGAUAUCAUACUUCUUCACCUCUUCAAAUUAUUCUCCCUAACCCACAAGUUCUUGAAAAGUUUAAGGUCACUCAGGCCCUAUUGGCAAGGCAAGGUCUAGGUGUGGUCACAUCUUGGAGAUGUAGUCACAUAUUGACAAGCCGGGAGAGUUGGGUGUCAAAGUCUUGAGAAAGUUGGUGGUUCAACCACUUUCUAAGUCACAUAGUGAGUUCCUUUGGGACACCUAUGAAACAGACUAUGACAAGACCCUUAAUGAUCUUAUCUAUUUGCUAAGAUCAACUUCCUAAAACUUUAUGGACAUUGACAAUGAUGACAUUGGAUAUCCAGUAAAGCAUUCUCUUCCCAAUGGAAAGGGAUCGGCCAUAGUCAACUCGGUUGACCAAAUGGUAAAGAGAAAAGCUAAGUCUGUGAUAGUCCCGUGUACCAUUAUCAAAGGGUCCAUAUGUUUAUAUUGCCAAAGGAAGGGGCAUUGGUUGCGAAGCUGCCAAAUUUACCUAAGGAUGUUAAAGUCAAUAAGUUUGACUCUACUUCAGGUAAAGUCCACUAUCUAACUCUGUUAAGUUUCUAUUCUGAGAUUCUUGAUACAUGAUGUGACUGGGUCACAUGGUGAUGUUUUAAGAAUCAAAGAAAAGUGAAGAAACUUAAAGAAAGAAUAUGCUGAAUCUGAUGGCGUAGAUGGAUUUCUAUCGCAUAGUUUGAAGAUCGGAUUCUUGAGCUACUUCUUAGGAGUUAUGAGAUAUUGCUUAGGAAUAGAUAACAACAAGUUUUCAUAUGGAUUGUAAGGAUAAGUUUUUCCGCAAAGUUUUAAAAUAAAAGAAAAUUUUUUUGAUUUUAUUUAUUUUAAAAUAUCCUUACAAUGGCAUUUGAGGAAAAAUUGUUGCUUAUAUGAUUCCAUUAAGAGCAAGAGUGGAAAUAUGAAAUUGAUUCUUUCAUUUGUGGUAAUGUCUAAAUUUACCAAAUAAGGAAAGAUUCUCAUCACCCAAGUUUCAAUUGGACCGGAACUUGGAAUCAUGCAAGUUGUAUAGCAUGAUGAAUGAGAACUUUCAAGUUUUGGAAAAUUAAGACUAAUUACUUGUUCACAUGGAUGUGUGAGUCAAGUAAAGGACUUAGGGAUCGAGUACACAUUCUUGUGCACUGAUUAAGUCCACCACUAAAGAUCGAUAAGAAGAAUCAAAUAAGGCAGAAGGAUAAAAGUUUCUCAAAUCUGAAAAGAUGGGAGAGUACUUUAGUAUCAGUUUUGUGAUCAUCUUAAUGAUUAAGAAACCAUAUCAAAAUUAGUUCUCUAAGGAAAUCUUAGUGCAUUCUUAUGACUAAGAAGAGGAACUUGAAUUGUUGAAAUGGUUAAAUCAAGAAGAUGAGUCAUACUUCGUUCCAAUACAAGUCUUAGAGUCAUACUCCAAGAUUGUCAUUUGAGUGACAUGUCUUAAAGAAGGUUUAAAACACUUGUCAAAUGUAAGAGUAAAAGUUUUCUACUCUUGUACAUUUGAAAUUGGUAAGUUGUGAUGUUUUGGAUAAAACAAAGACCAACUUAGGCCAAUUGGGUAAAGUGUUUUUCUUGAUUAGAAUCCGCACUAUCUCUUGGAUGUUUGACAAGGGAGUCUUAUAUGUCAAGAGGACAGUGGGAGUCUUAAAGGUCUUGAAAGUCUCAAGAAAUAAUCAAGAAUAAAACCUAAAGUUCUUCACUAGCACACGACUUGAGGUUUAUAACCUAUCGUGUUGACAUAUCUGUGCCCAUUCCAGUUAAAGUUGGCUUUGCAUAUGAGUUCUUAGAGUUCUCAGUUUGUUGCAUAACAACUUGGAAGCAAUGGCAGGCCCUUGAGCUGCCAGGUGGCAAGAAGUUAAGAUUGAGUUCAAUCCAUAUGGUUUUGGAUUUGUCAUUAUCUUUGUCUUGUGAUUAUGGUUUGACAAAUUCAUAUGGGUAGGAACUCAUACACCAUAUAAAUCUAAGUGUCAUAAGGUUUCUCUCCGAUUCAUGAAAAUGAUGGUGAGGAAACGCUUUCACUAAGUAGAUUUUACGAAGAUAUCAAUUGUGUUAUUUGCAUUUUCAAAAGUCGUUAGUGGAGCGCGUGUGGUUAACCGGCACACUAACAUGGACUUGUGAGAAAUGGCAAAUGCCUAAGCAAUUGAGACCAUGAUUACGGUAUCCCUUUUCAUGGUUCUUGAAAUUGCUUAGACACACAGGUGAGCUAUCUACGGAAAGGGUGUAUGAAUCUAAAUUUCAGACUGUCCAGCUGAUUUCUGAGUACAUGUCAAAGCUAGUGGGAGCAUAAGUGUUAUGCUAAUAAUCAUCAUGUUAGUGGGAGCAUGAUAAUUAUGAUAAGUAUUGCAAGUUAGCAAUGUUAAUUAUAGAAAACAAAAGUUUCAAUUGGGAAAAAGUUGUUUUGCUAUAAUUAAGGGAGAGGAAAUUAUGCUUCAUCUCAAAUCUAUAAGCUUAGAUCGUGAGGUUUUAAUCAUUUAGUCAAGGAUAUAUAUGAAUUUCAUGUUGGAAUGGCUCAACAUAAGGAAAUUCUGUAUAUGGGUCCAUUAUUUGCGUUCUAAAAUUCGAUUAUGAUUACGGCAUCCCUUUUCAUAAUCUGAAUUAUGAGAACUUGGCAAAUUGAAAUGGAAAUAUUAUAGCAAAAGACUGGUUUAGUCUUUAUGUAAGACAUCAUGAAUCGUGUCCCAUAUGCUUCGGAUAUAGGAUCGAUUACAUGUGCUAUAUUCAUCCGUUCUAAAAUUUUCCAAAUGCCUGGGGCAUUAAGAAGGGAAAAGGUUUAGAACUGGAUAUGACUAAAAGGAUUAAACAAUUGUCGAGGACAAUCUAAGGUUUACCAAAGAUUGGUUACUCAAGGACAAUUGGAAGUAUAGUGAUAAUUCUGGAAGGACCAUAUUGACAUAAUCUGUAAGGAGGCAACUCUUGUUCAGAAGUGAUAGUCAAAAUGGAAUCUGGAAAUGUUUCAAAGUUAGAAUUUUCAAUAUGUGUAAGAUUAAGGAAACUUAAUGCAAGAAGGAUGUUUCCAAGGAGUUGAUUUCCUUUGGAAUGCUCUGUAAUGUUUGGUGUCAAGUCUAUAUGAUUUUGCGCAUAAUCAUUACAAAAGGAUAUAUGCAUAUAAGUUUAGAAUCUAACAGAUUUUAGUAAAUGGCAUGAAUUUGGAAUUCUUGCAUUUGCAGUAAGGAUUUGGGAGUGUGAAAAAAGAAUCAUUGAAGUUAUGUUCAAUUGAUCUAGUUCACAAAGUAAAGAUCAUAGACAAACAUAGUAUGCAUACUUGGUGUAUGGCAUGACUAGUGUUUAAGAAAACAUAGUGUACAUGCUUGGAGCAUGGGACAACUAUUGUUUUAAAUUCAAGAAUAAAGUUGAUAGCUGAAACAGUAUACAAUGAAUAAUGUGUAAUCAUAUGGUGAUAAAUAAAAGGUGUUUUAUUUAUGUUCAAA
rnacentral:lncRNA from 1 species